rnacentral:rRNA from 1 species
GUGAGAAAUCCUGCCUUCAACACUGGGAUAACUCCGGGAAACCGGGGCUAAUACCGGAUAUGAAACCUGCGGGCAUCCGCGGGUUUGGAAAGUUUUUCGGUUGAAGAUGAUCUCGCGGCCUAUCAGCUUGUUGGUGAGGUAAUGGGCUUCACCCAAGGCGACACGGGUAGCCGGCCUGANAGGGCGACCGGCCACACUGGGACUGAGACACGGCCCAGACUCCUACGGGAGGCAGCAGUGGGGAAUAUUGGGCAAUGGAGGAAACUCUGACCCAGCGACGCCGCGUGCGGGAUGAAGGCCUUCGGGUUGUAAACCGCUUUCAGCAGGGAAGAAGCGAAAGUGACGGUACCUGCAGAAGAAGCACCGGCUAACUAUGUG